rnacentral:rRNA from 1 species
AGAGUGAACGCUGGCGGUAGGCCUAACACAUGCAAGUCGAACGGCAGCACAGUGGUAGCAAUACCAUGGGCGGCGAGUGGCGGACGGGUGAGGAAUACAUCGGAAUCUACCUUUUGGUGGGGGAUAACGUAGGGAAACUUACGCUAAUACCGCAUACGCCCUUCGGGGGAAAGCCGGGGACCUUCGGGCCUGGCGCUGAUAGAUGAGCCGAUGUCGGAUUAGCUAGUUGGUGAGGUAAUGGCUCACCAAGGCGACGAUCCGUAGCUGGUCUGAGAGGAUGAUCAGCCACACUGGAACUGAGACACGGUCCAGACUCCUACGGGAGGCAGCAGUGGGGAAUAUUGGACAAUGGGCGCAAGCCUGAUCCAGCCAUACCGCGUGGGUGAAGAAGGCCUUCGGUGUAAGCCCUUUUGUAGGAAGAAAGCAAUCGGUUAAUACCCGGUUGUUACUGACCGGUACCAAGAAUAAGCAACGGCUAACGUCGUAGCCAGCAGCCGCGGUAAUCGUGA